UAAAAGCAGUGGUAGAGAACAAAUUCCCAAAAGAAGAGAUCAGAUUUGGAUGAUCAUCAUUGGAAAUUAUAUGAUGGGGAAGAUGAAAGUGGAAAAGGUAGCAGUAAGUUUAUGGUGGAAGGUCCACGGAAGUACGAGUACUUGAGAAAAAUAGAAGUGCCAAGCAUGCCUUAAAGACUGUUUUGGUCAAUUGAGAAAGCAGAGGACCAUAAGAAAUUUGUUAUCUCAACCACCCAUUACUUGGAAGUUUGAAUCCUCCAAGAUUCUCCUCCCACUAGGAUCAUGUUAACAAAGGCUAUUUCCUACUAUAAAUACAGAACAUCUUCCUUCUUCUUGCCACUACAAACCGAACAGAGUAACAUUUGUACUUUCUUCAUCUCAUCACCUAAAGCCCUGUGCUUAAUAUAUAUAUAUUUUUUUUGUGUCGAAGAAGAGUUAUGGGAUGCAACAGGGGAGGCAACAGGCAGAAAAAAUCCUCAUUCGAAUUAAUCAGCUUUUUCAAAUCGAGGAGGCCUCGCAGAGGAGAUGACAUGUGGGAGGAUUGUAAUAUGAGUGCAGGAAGGGUGUGGCCUAGUGACGAGGACAGACAUGGGUGGGUAGCUGAACCCCACAUCGACCGCAACGCUACUGCUUUCAUUCAGAAAUAUCUACAAGUGCAGCCUUCAGAGUUUCUUCUCGACUCUUCUUCUCCCCUCAACCCAAAACCAACUCCAGAUCUGUAAAUCUCCUUGGUUCCAGGGGAUCUCCCCUGGAAUCACCCCCUUCGGUUAAUAAUCCGGGUGUUGUGGGGAGGUUUUCCCUCCCAACUUUUGUUGGAUUUUGUCUGCUCUUCGCUUUUGCAAGAUCUCUCUGUAUUGGAGGUGGAGCUAUUGAUUUUGGUGGAUCUACUUAUAUUGUGCUCGGGGAUCAAGGGGGAUUAGGAGAUGAUUCUUUGGAAUGUCCUAGUGAAAGUUGAGUGAUUAUGCCCUCCACUCUUGGGGUGUUUCCUGUCCCAUGAAGUUUGAGAGAUUGUUCUCUGUCUUGAUCUUAUUAAAGCACUAGUUGUUGCAAAAUUAGGGUCCUCCUCAUUUGUAACUCCUUGUUAGCUGGGUUUCAAGUUGUAUAUUUGUUUUCUAUCUUGUAAUACUUGUGCUUAGUUGUUGUUGUUGUUACAGUCUCUGUAUUGCAAGAACCUCCUUUCGGGGGUGUGUUCUUACUGUUGUAUCCUGGGUUUGUGGCUUGUUCUUCAAAUGAAUCUCUACUGUUUCGCCAAAA